rnacentral:rRNA from 1 species
AGUGAACGCUGGCGGUAGGCCUAACACAUGCGAGUCGAACGGCAGCACAGUAAGAGCUUGCUCUUACGGGUGGCGAGUGGCGGACGGGUGAGGAAUACAUCGGAAUCUACUUUUUCGUGGGGGAUAACGUAGGGAAACUUACGCUAAUACCGCAUACGACCUACGGGUGAAAGCAGGGGCUCUUCGGACCUUGCGCGAUUGAAUGAGCCGAUGUCGGAUUAGCUAGUUGGCGGGGUAAAGGCCCACCAAGGCGACGAUCCGUAGCUGGUCUGAGAGGAUGAUCAGCCACACUGGAACUGAGACACGGUCCAGACUCCUACGGGAGGCAGCAGUGGGGAAUAUUGGACAAUGGGCGCAAGCCUGAUCCAGCCAUGCCGCGUGGGUGAAGAAGGCCUUCGGGUUGUAAAGCCCUUUUGUUGGGAAAGAAAAGCAGCAGGUUAAUACCCCGCUGUUCUGACGGUACCCAAAGAAUAAGCACCGGCUAACUUCGUG